AAAUGGAAAUGAUUAAUCUGAUGUUAUUUUAAUUGGAUUUUUAGUUCUAAUUAUUCCUCUUAUCUCUAAAGGUUAUGUUUAACCAUGUGGAGUAUGUGGGGGCUUCCGAAUGUCCUGAGUUUUUUCCCCCACAUGAAGACAGAGAAGUGAGUUCCAUGUUUCACACGUUGGAAAGAACAACUGGUUAUGUGAUGGAUGGACUGUGUCUUCCCCGAGUCCAUGAACUUGCCAGUUUGGCUAAGGUUUCUUCAUGGACUUCAAUCAAGGCACAAAGGCAAAGAUAAAUGGGAGAGAAAGGGGGGCAAGAAAUGCAAAAAAAAGGAGACAUUGGUGAAAAGUAGAACUGGAAGAAAGGAAGUAACAACAGAUGGGAGAGGUAAAGAGAAAAAAGUCAAAGAAUGCUCAUCAUCAUCUCAUAAGAAGUAUGAAUACUCACUUCUUUCUCUUAUUAAGCCCCUGACCACAGUGUCCACAAGAAAAUAUCCCGUUAAGCACCAAGAAUAUUCCAUGGAAAUAUUAGAAGGGAAAGAA
rnacentral:lncRNA from 1 species